GCUAGUAUUAGUUAUUUUCUUGAAAAUUAUAUAAUUUGGCGGUAUUUCAGUCUAUUCAGAGGAACCUGUCCCGUAAUUGAUAAUCCACGAUUUAUAGCACUUUCUUUAUUAGUUUAUAUAUCGUUGUAGCUUGAGUAUUUUUUAAGAAUUUAAAUUCUCAUAAUUUUAUAUUAGAGGGUAAUUCAAAUCAAGGUGUAGCUUAUAAGGGAGUGGCGAUGGGUUACAUUAAAUUUAUUUUAGGAUGAUUUUUAGUAUAAUAAUUUGAAUUUGGAUUUGAAUGUAAUUUUUACUAGAUAGUAA
rnacentral:rRNA from 1 species